AUUUUCUUUGUUGCUCAGAGCCAGGCAACAGCUGUAAGGGAGAGCACGCGUCCUCCGCCCCCCUGCCGUGCUGGACCACCACCCCGACCCUGUCUCCAGACAGCAGAGGGGCUGGGAAAACAAGCCGAAAUAUCUCGGUCAGUGGC